ensembl:lncRNA
GGAACUGCAAUCAUAGCGGGAAAGUGCACAAAGCACUAAGAUCUACAGUGGAUAUAUCUGCUCUGAACUCUCUGGCAAAAGUAUACCUUUAUUAAUCAGCAGACUACUGUGGUUAGCUCCAGAAACACACCAGACACAAGAUCCCAGCAUGGAAUUACACUGCUCUUAUUCCUGUACAUCAGGAUUUAAGUGGAAGAGACCAGAAGAACUCACUGUGCUUCAGUGACUGAAGGUACCUGCAAUAAUUCACGUGAUCUCAAGAUACAUCCUAAGAUUCCUUAACUUCCUGGGCCUCUCUUGACUAUCUGGAAACAUUCAAAACCGCUGUGAAGCAAAAUGGAUAGGUUUCAAAUAAUGAAAUGAAACUUCAGAUGUUCUGACACGUGACAGUAAUUCAUAAAGUUUCCAGACAAUUCAAAAAGGCACUACAAGAACAAAAUUCCCAUGUUCCGCUUACGUACAUCAGCUCCUAGUGAAGAUUUUGUGUUCUUCUUUCACC